rnacentral:lncRNA from 1 species
CAAUUCUUCAAAGUGCUUGCUUGGAAUGAUACAGAGAGGAUUAGGAAAUACAAAUAGUUUUUUUUUUGUUUUGUUUUGUUUUUAGAGAUAGGGUCUCACUAUGUUGCUCAGNNNNNNNNNNUUUUGUUUUGUUUUGUUUUGUUUUUAGAGAUAGGGUCUCACUAUGUUGCUCAGGCUGGUUUCAAACUCCUGAGCUAAAGCAAUCCUCCUGUCUUGGCCUCCCCAAGUGCUAGGAUUACAGGCGUUGAGUCACCACUACUGGCCAAGAUGCUGAUCUUUUUUUUUUUGUUGCCCAGGCUGGAGUGCAGUGGCCUGAUCUCAGCUCACCACAACCUCUGCCUCCCAGAUUCAAGCAAUUCUCCUGCCUCAGCCUCCUAAGUAGCUGGGAUCACAGGCAUGCGCCACCACGCCCGGCUACUUUUUGUAUAUUUAGUAGAGAGGGGUUUCUCCAUGUUGGUCAGGUUGGUCUUGAACUCCUGACCUCAGGUGAUCCACCCGCCUCAGCCUCCCAAAGUGCUGGGAUUACAGGCAUGAGCCACCGCGCCCAGCGAUGCUAAUCUUAUGAAAGACAACCAACAACAAAUUCUGAAUACUAAAGUGUGCGAAAUGUAUUUAAUUCUUUUCAUAGCACAGAUGAGUUAACCCACGAUGUGUUGUCCCAGGCACUAUGGAGUCAUCUUGAAUUUCAUGUUCUAAACAAACACCCUUGGCCUGGAGGAAUGCACCUGCAUAUCACGACAGGACCUAGUGUCUCAGAUUUAGUCCGGCAGCUUUGAAUUUUGAAAUCCUCUUUGGAGCUUCUUCUGACAUAGCAUCUUUUCUCUCUGGGAAGGUAGGUGACACCUGAAGAACAGAGGCAUGGUGUGGCGUCAGAGAUGGAGGUAAGAAUUAUUUUUCUACCACAAUCCCAGGAAAAAUCACCUAAGGUC